GUGGGGAAUAUUGGACAAUGGGGGGAACCCUGAUCCAGCCAUGCCGCGUGUGUGAAGAAGGCCUUUUGGUUGUAAAGCACUUUAAGCGAGGAGGAGGCUACCGAGAUUAAUACUCUUGGAUAGUGGACGUUACUCGCAGAAUAAGCACCGGCUAACUCUGUGCCAGCGGCCGCGGUAAUACAGAGGGUGCAAGCGUUAAUCGGAUUUACUGGGCGUAAAGCGCGCGUAGGUGGCCAAUUAAGUCAAAUGUGAAAUCCCCGAGCUUAACUUGGGAAUUGCAUUCGAUACUGGUUGGCUAGAGUAUGGGAGAGGAUGGUAGAAUUCCAGGUGUAGCGGUGAAAUGCGUAGAGAUCUGGAGGAAUACCGAUGGCGAAGGCAGCCAUCUGGCCUAAUACUGACACUGAGGUGCGAAAGCAUGGGGAGCAAACAGGAUUAGAUACCCCGGUAGUCC
rnacentral:rRNA from 1 species